rnacentral:rRNA from 1 species
UAAUACAUCGGAACAUGUCCUGUAGUGGGGGAUAGCCCGGCGAAAGCCGGAUUAAUACCGCAUACGAUCUACGGAUGAAAGCGGGGGACCUUCGGGCCUCGCGCUAUAGGGUUGGCCGAUGGCUGAUUAGCUAGUUGGUGGGGUAAAGGCCCACCAAGGCGACGAUCAGUAGCUGGUCUGAGAGGACGACCAGCCACACUGGGACUGAGACACGGCCCAGACUCCUACGGGAGGCAGCAGUGGGGAAUUUUGGACAAUGGGCGAAAGCCUGAUCCAGCAAAGCAAUGCCGCGUGUGUGAAGAAGGCCUUCGGGUUGUAAAGCACUUUUGUCCGGAAAGAAAUCCUGAGGGCUAAUAUCCUUCGGGGAUGACGGUACCGGAAGAAUAAGCACCGGCUAACUACGUGCCAGCAGCCGCGGUAAUACGUAGGGUGCGAGCGUUAAUCGGAAUUACUGGGCGUAAAGCGUGCGCAGGCGGUUUGUUAAGACCGAUGUGAAAUCCC